UACGGAGGGUGCAAACGUUGCUCGGAAUCAUUGGGCGUAAAGCGCACGUAGGCGGCCUGUUAAGUCGGGUGUGAAAGCCCUGGGCUCAACCCAGGAAGUGCACUCGAAACUGGCGGGCUUGAAUAUGGAAGAGGGUCGCGGAAUUCCCGGUGUAGAGGUGAAAUUCGUAGAUAUCAGGAGGAACACCGGUGGCGAAGGCGGGUCUCUGGGCAGUAACUGACGCUGAGGAGCGAAAGCGUGGGGAGCGAACAGG
rnacentral:rRNA from 1 species